rnacentral:rRNA from 1 species
GGAAAUCUAGAGCUAAUACAUGUACUAUCGUGGUUUACCACGAGCAUUGCAUUUAUUAUACAUCACCAACCGUGCUGUAGUACACGUUACUACAAUGCGUGAUGAUUCUAGAUAACUUUGCAGAUCGUAUGACCUUGAGUCGACGACAUUUCGAUUGAAUUUCUGCCCUAUCAACUUUUGUCGGCAGUUUAGUGGACUGCCGAGGUUAUCACGGGUAACGGGGGAUCAGGGUUCGAUUCCGGAGAGGGAGCCUGAGAAACGGCUACCACAUCCAAGGAUGGCAGCAGGCGCGCAAAUUACCCAAUCCAGAUAAUGGGAGGUGGUGAAGAAAAGUACCGAAUGUCGGUCGUAAGAUUGAUAAUUUGGAAUGGAAACAAUUUAAAAAAUUGGUUUGAGUAACAACUGGAGGGCAAGUCUGGUGCCAGCAGCCGCGGUAAUUCCAGCUCCAGUAGCGUAUCUCAAAGUUGCUGCGCUUAAAACGCUCGUAGUUGGAUCAUUGAGCAUGUGUUAGUUAAUGAUAUAAAUAAUUGAUGACUUUAAUAAAAGUUGUGUUCAAUAUUUAUAUCAACUAUAAGCUAAUGCAUGUUAAUUGCAUGUGAGGAUGAUAAUUGACCUUUAGUGUGUUGAUAAUCGUGUCUCACAGAGUGUGCCUUGAGUAAAUCAGAGUGCUUAAAGCAAGUAUGUAUGCUUGAAUGUUGAUAGCAUGGAACGAACAAUCGUGUAUAGUGUGUUAUAUAUUGUUCAUAUAAUAAAUAUUAUAUGUUAUAAAUUAUAACAUGACACCGACCACCAAUUACGAAUGUUGGUUUCGUAUUGGGGUAUUGAUUAAGAGGAGCGGUUGGGGGCAUUGGUAUUUGGCAGCGAGAGGUGAAAUUCUUGGACCUACCAAGGACCAACAAAUGCGAAGGCAUCUGCCAAGACCGUAUCCAUUAAUCAAGAACGAAAGUGAGAGGUUCGAAGACGAUCAGAUACCGUCCUAGUUCUCACUGUAAACUAUGCCGACCCGGGAUCAGUUUGGAGCAAUUUCCACGCUCGAGGUUGGUCCCCCUGGGAAACCUAAAGUUUUUCGGUUGCGGGGGGAGUAUGGUCGCAAGGCUGAAACUUAAAGGAAUUGACGGAAGGGCACCACCAGGGGUGGAGCCUGCGGCUUAAUUUGACUCAACACGGGAAAACUUACCUGGUCCGGACAUCAAAAGGAUAAACAGACUAAAAGAUCUUUAUUUUGAUAUGAUGAUUGGUGGUGCAUGGCCGUUCUUAGUUCGUGGAGUGAUCUGUCAGGCCAAUUCCGGUAACGAACGAGAGCACAGUUUUCAUUUGACGCGCUAAAGAUGAUACGUUUUUAUGCUUUGGGAUUGAAAAAUCACUUGUGUGAUAACGUAUCGAUGGUAGUGAAAUUAUUGUACUUAGAAAUGAUAUUAUUGUGGCAACAUUGUAGUAUUGUUAAAGAGUAUAAUGUAUUUUACUCUCUUUAGUGUAACGACACAUUGAUUGAGAGAUUGAUGUAUUGUAUCAUGAAGAGACAGCGGAAUAUAUUCCAAAAUCCGAGGAAGUGUGGCUAUAACAGGUCUGUGAUGCCCUUAGAUGUUCAGGGCUGCACGCGCGCUACAAUGGUAGUGACAACGAGUUUCUGGAUCGAAAGAUCUGGGUAAUCUUACAAUCACUACCGUGAUGGGGAUCGACGUUUGUAAUUACGUCGUGAAAGAGGAAUCCCUAGUACGUGCGAUUCAUGUAAAUCGCGCGGAUUUCGU